rfam:Gamma proteobacterium HIMB55 ctg2504557020, whole genome shotgun sequence.
GCCCAGGUAGCUCAGUUGGUAGAGCAGGGGAUUGAAAAUCCCCGUGUCGGCGGUUCGAUUCCGUCCCUGGGCA